UACAGAGGUCUCAAGCGUUGUUCGGAUUCAUUGGGCGUAAAGAGCGUGUAGGCGCCUUACAGGUCAGCUGUGAAACUCGAGGCUCAACCUCGAGACGUCGGUUGAAACCGUAAGGCUAGAGUCCGGAAGAGGAGAGUGGAAUUCCCGGUGUAGCGGUGAAAUGCGCAGAUAUCGGGAGGAACACCGGUGGCGAAGGCGGUUCUCUGGCCUGUACUGACGCUGAG
rnacentral:rRNA from 1 species